CCUACGGGAGGCAGCAGUGAGGAAUAUUGGUCAAUGGACGAGAGUCUGAACCAGCCAAGUCGCGUGAAGGAUGACUGCCCUAUGGGUUGUAAACUUCUUUUAUACGAGAAUAAACUCCUCCACGUGUGGCAUUUUGAAAGUACCAUAUGAAUAAGGAUCGGCUAACUCCGUGCCAGCAGCCGCGGUAAUACGGAGGAUCCGAGCGUUAUCCGGAUUUAUUGGGUUUAAAGGGUGCGUAGGUGGGUUGUUAAGUCAGUUGUGAAAGUUCGGGGCUCAACCGUAAAAUUGCAGUUAAUACUGGCAGUCUUGAGAACAGUAGAGGUAGGCGGAAUGCGUGGUGUAGCGGUGAAAUGCUUAGAUAUCACGAAGAACUCCGAUUGCGAAGGCAGCUUA
rnacentral:rRNA from 1 species